CAAGUGAAAGAGAAUGUGUAGCAAUACACAUGUAAAGUGGCGAACGGGUGAGGAUUACAUGGGUAACCUACCCUCGAGUGGGGAAUAACCAGCCGAAAGGUUGGCUAAUACCGCGUACGCUUCCGGAACUGCGGUUUCGGAAGGAAAGCGAUACCGUGGGUAUCGCGCUCUUGGAUGGGCUCAUGCCCUAUCAGCUUGUUGGUGAGGUAACGGCUCACCAAGGCUUCGACGGGUAGCUGAUCUGAGAGGAUGAUCAGCCACACUGGCACUGCGACACGGGCCAGACUCCUACGGGAGGCAGCAGUAAGGAAUAUUGCGCAAUGGGCGAAAGCCUGACGCAGCGACGCCGCGUGGGGGAUGAAGGUCUUCGGAUUGUAAACCCCUUUCGGGAGGGAAGAUGGGAUGGGGUAACCCAUUCGGACGGUACCUCCAGAAGCAGCCACGGCUAACUUCGUGCCAGCAGCCGCGGUAAUACGAAGGUGGCAAGCGUUGUUCGGAUUUACUGGGCGUACAGGGAGCGUAGGCGGUUGGAUAAGCCCUCCGUGAAAUCUCCAGGCUUAACCUGGAAAGUGCAGAGGGGACUGUUCAGCUAGAGGAUGGGAGAGGAGCGCGGAAUUCCCGGUGUAGCGGUGAAAUGCGUAGAGAUCGGGAGGAAGGCCGGUGGCGAAGGCGGCGCUCUGGAACAUUUCUGACGCUGAGGCUCGAAAGCGUGGGGAGCAAACAGGAUUAUAAUACCCUGGUAGUCCACGCCUUAAACGAUGGAUACUAAGUGUCGGCGGGUUACC
rnacentral:rRNA from 1 species